rnacentral:lncRNA from 1 species
UUUUUUUUUAAAUUAGCUAUCACCACCCACCAUAGGAAGGGCAGCUCUGUGCCAUGGACACUGUGACAGGUAUACAGUCAGGUUCUCUCUGAUCUAGAGAACAAAUAUCACUAUGGAUGUCAGCUUGACUAAACAGCAAAGCAAAGGAGGCAAUUAAAAAAAAUAAAAAAGAAAGCAAAAUUGUAUUUAAGCAAAGAAAACAGAAAUAAAUUUUAACAGAUUGAAUGCAAAAUCCACAAAAAUGCAAGUCAAGGGGAAGAAUAAUACAAAAAACCCCAGACAUCUUCUGAACAAUUUAUCUUAAGUGGAGGAAUCAAAUCUUCUAAUGUUAUUUUCUUCUUUCCAAAACAUCAAGGAUCAAAAGCAAUGCAACCUUGAUACAACUGCAGCAAUCGGAGUCACUGCACAGAAAUGAGGCCUCUGUAGUGGCAUUUGUUCUAGAAGUUGAGGAGAUGACUGUAUUUGAACCCUUUGGGGCAGAAGGGGCUACAACAGAGGGUCUGUCCAAAACUGAACUGCUAAAGAGGUUAUAGCACCAGUUACCAGGACCAGGCAGUAUUCAUUCACCUACUCUAGUACAAUACAGGAAUGAACAAUCUGAAUUACUAAUGAUAGUAUGUAACCUUUUGUUUUUCUUUCAUACGGGAAUGCAGAAAAACAAAGCAAUGACUACCAUAAAAGCUACCAUGGAAAUAUCAGCACCCACAGACCUCUAAGCCAGAUGUCAUAUUGGACACAUUAACAGAGGCUACAAUCAAGAUCAGAAUUAGCUGAUGUCUGGAUACACGCAAAUUACUCAAGUCUUUUUUUUCUCAUUCCCUUUGGAGCAGAAUGUUGAACUAAACAGACUCCACCCAUUGAUAUGGUAAUUCUUACUUAUAGAACUCAUUCAUCCACAUCGAUGUUUUGGUCCUACUGCUUUCCAUCACAAACCUAUAUCUAAUCUUACAAAAAGCAAAUGAAGGGUAAAUAAGGUAAAGAACAUCUUCCAGACAGCCAGACAGAAACUCAAAGUCCAUCUGGAAAUGAUCCAACUCAGAAGAAUCUGAGGUCUGGGUUGAAAGGACCUUUGAAAGACCAUCUAGUUCCAACCUCUCUGCCACAGGCAGAGACACCUUCCACUAGACCAGGUUGCUCAAAGCCCCAUCCAGCCUGGCGUUGAACACUGCCAAGGAUAGGGCAGCCACAACUUCUCUGGGCAAUCUGUGCCAGUGCCUCAUCACCCUCACAGUAAAGAACUUCUUCCUAAUAUUUAACCUAAAGUCUCCCCUCUUCCAGUUUAAAGCCAUUACCCUUUGUCCUAUCCCUAAAUACCCUCGUAAAAUAUCCCUCUCCAGCUCUCUUGCCCCUUUAGGC